UUUCACACACGGUUCUUAAAUACCUGUUGAGGCUGGAUAAGAACAAAAAGAUUAUUAACAUAACAUUUGCAUGCAUUCCACACACCAUGUAUGUGGUAUGGUGUAUGGUAUGGUUCUUCAAAGUGGGGAUGUAAAAAUCCAGGUGUAAUUGUGUAGAAAUCAUACAGUUUCUUUGGGUUUUGUAUCACUUUCCCUGUGUAGAAUAAAGCAGUGCAGGCAUUCAAGGGUAUGUUCAAUUGGUACUUCAACAUUACUGUUGGAGACAAGGUCAUGACAAUGUUUCUGCUACAAACAGCACAUUGAUGUUGGCUGUGCAAGCAGAGUGGGUACAAUUUGAAUGAAAAUACAGAAAAUUAGAAAAAAAAAUAAAAGACCAAAAGGGAAAAAGAAAAUAUCUGUUCAUGUUUUUAGCCAGAUCUGCUGCAUUCAGACAGAAAAUUAAAUCAGGUAAACUAAAAAAGAGACAAGAUGAAAAUCCAAAGCCCAGACUGAGGUAGCAAAAGUAAGUGAAUUUCUCAACAUGCAUACAUAGUGGAGGAAUGCUAUAAUCUUAUUCUUGUAACCUCAAUCCACUCUUCUCCCAGCACUUAUUGCUCUCAUUAGUUAGGAAAUAUCUAAAAGCAGAUAGUAAACUUCUUGUGUGAGGACAGUCUCUUUAAUGUAUUCUGAACAUGCCUCGUAUAACUUCAGCGGUUCUAUACAAAAAUAAUAUUACCUCUUGGGGUUUUUCUGUAUUAUUUCUAAGCACAGGAAACAUUAAAAUGCAGCAAGUCCAGAAAGGUCAAACUGUAUCUCCCCUCAUUCUGCGCAGGACUUCAGAAAUGAUCAAAAGGUUAUGCUGAGGUAACUGAUACGAAACCUGAAAUACCAUGAUCACAAAACUUGCAUCAAUUUGUGCCCAUGCAGGCAAAGCAUCAUCUCGUUUCACUCCUGAAAAAUGAUUUUAUUUUACAUUUUAUAGCUAUUUGGAACUGUUUGUUCCUAACGACUACUCCUCACAGAUGUGCAUCACUGUAGUGUAAUUACACAGAGACACUGUCAGCCUGAAGGAACCCAACCUGUAAAUUACACCCAUACUGAGUAUGGAAGGUGAGUGAUUUGUGACUUGGGAUUUGGAAGGCUGCCUUGCUUUCCUGCUCUUCCACCACCAUUUCUGAGCUGGUAAAAGCAGGAGGCUGCCAAUGUGUAGCGCUUGCUCAGACACACUUCCUUCCUUUUUCAUUAUUCCUCUAUGUGGGGCAGAGCUUUGAUGAGGGCUUGGUUGCCAGUGUGUGCUUAGGCUCUGCAUUUGACUAGGGAAGGAAAGAAAAGUCAGCGCCAGCCACCUGGGUGCAGAAUGGAAGAAGAAAUGUUACCCAAGGAUGGGAGUAAACCCCUGCUAUUAAAACCAGGUAUUUUAAACAGAAAGGACAAUUUCAAACAGGAACUUCAAAACCAAGAUGAUAGAACCAAAGACUUUUUCAGGAUGAAAGAACACAUGUAAGGAGGAUCAAGACCCUACAGUGAGAUCAGCCAUUAGCUAAUUAAAUAUGUGACUAAAAUUCAUCAUUUUAAAUAGCAGCCAUAUUGAUGGGGAGCAAUCUGGUCAGCAAACAAAUGAUAGUGGAUUUUUUUCCCCCCAUAUCUUCAGAGAGAAACAUUUAUCUUAAUAGGAUUCACUAUGCCAUAAUACACACGGAAUAAGUCAAUGCUUACUAAUUAAAGGACAGUGUCAACCUGAUUUUCUAAACAGCUAAUUAAAAUAUGUAGCAUCUAAUACUGCACUUCUUGCAAAGUAUGCUGUUUAAAAAAUACAUCCCUGUAAAAGUUACUUGUUUUCCUAUUCCCUUGUGUUUGCUUUUUUAAUUGGUUUUUCAACAAAGGAGGAUCUGCUGAACCAAGGUUCUAUUUCUGUAUCCAGUUCCAUUAACGCACACCCCCGUACUUAGGUUGUAGGCCUGAAAGGCUAGGCAAGGAAAGAACGACACUAAUCCGAAGGGUUUGCUGUUGGUGCUUUUGCAAGGAUGACAAGAUUUUCUCUCUCUCUUUUGGGGGGGGAUUUUAGGUAAUGUAGAUGUUACUUGAAACUGUAAAAUUUUCAAAGAGAAAUGUUAUUUUCCUAUUGAUGAGGAAUCCUUAACCUUCCAUUUUAUAGAUUAGUUUCUCAGAAUAAGCAGGCUUUUGUGUUUCUUAUUCUGAUUCUGUAUGUAGCUUUUUCAAGAGAAAGAAGUUGUUGUAGAUCUGUCAGCAAGGCUCUGGGAGUAGGAGGAUGUUUGGAUUUCCGGCAUAUUGCAACGCAGUUCUUGGCCACCAGCAAAGCUCUGUGUGUGAAUCUCAUUUUAUAUCCGUUGUUUGCAAUACCACAUAUUUUAAGAGACAUUUGAAAUAGUCUCUGUACUCUAAUCCUAGAUAAGUAAUCACAAAUCAUUCCCUAAAGGAAACCGAGAAGGCAGAAUACCUACUUGUACGUAGCUCAUGUCAUGAGACUGUGGAUGAAAUGAUGCUGUCACAGAAAUGGAAUUAAAUCUGUUGUAUACUGAACAAUUUCAGUCUGCAUUCAAAGUUCUUAGCUCAAAUCAGCCCAUUGUUUGCUAUGUUUUUUCUUUCUAGAUUCAGAUGUAACAGUAUUUUGAAUGACACACUUUUUGCAUUAAAACAUUAUUAGCCAGCUAA